GACGUAGGGCGCGAGCGUUGUCCGGAUUUAUUGGGCGUAAAGAGCUCGUAGGCGGCUUGUCGCGUCGGCUGUGAAAUCCCGUGGCUCAACUGCGGGUCUGCAGCCGAUACGGGCAGGCUAGAGUUCGGUAGGGGAGACUGGAAUUCCUGGUGUAGCGGUGAAAUGCGCAGAUAUCAGGAGGAACACCGAUGGCGAAGGCAGGUCUCUGGGCAUUAACUGACGCUGAGGAGCGAAAGCAUGGGGAGCGAACAGG
rnacentral:rRNA from 1 species